ACUUUACGCUAUGGAAUCAUGUUUCUACCCGGUAGUCAACCCUCGCAUUAAUUUUUAAGUUGUUGUUUUGAAUUCUAUUAAAAAAAUUCAAAACAUGUAAAAUUAAAAAAAUAGUGUAGCAAUAAGUUUUGUAUUGCUAUGGCAUCUGUGUAUCGUACAUCAAAGUUAGAGUGAUUUUCAGCAAUAAGAAAACUGACAACAAAUGCAAGCAUUGGGAGAAACUUUUUUUGGAAAGUGCUGUUUAUGAAAAAAGAUUUGAAUUCAUUAUAAACAGAGCAGCAAAUUUAUGGAACACAUUGGGAACACAGCAAAAUUACGGAGUGCAUUGGAAGUUGUCAAGUCAACAAAUUAUGAGUGUUUGUGAAACUACUGGCAACCUGCUUGUAUGGAAAGAUAUAAAAGUCUCAUUAACCAAAGUUUCAGGUAAACAUCCUAUAAGGUUAUUUUUUAUUGAUAGAUUUAAAAAAAUAGAUUAUUUUUGAAUGUAUUAUAGCCUAUGCCGAUGUAAUUUUGAAGUUGUGCAAGGGGGCAAGGAAUUUAGACGUUAAAGUACUUACACACAAACUAAUCUCAAUAUGCUUCAAGAAUUAAUAACAAAAAUAACUUUCAGAAGAUUACCAAUACUUUCUUCCUGCCAUCUUCAAAAUGUUUGAAAAAUUAAUUUACUGUGGAUGAGUGAAAUAAAAACGUUGUUUAAGAAGAAUUUUUACUACAUUUAUAAACAGUAAUUUUUGUUUGACAAUUGCUGUUUUCACAUUUU